rnacentral:lncRNA from 1 species
UCUUUUAUUGUUAUUUUUAGUAUUUUGUUAUUUUAUUUCAGUAUGGUGUUAUUUUACUUUAUUGCAUUCUAGAUUUAGUUUUUCUGUUUGAAGUUACAUUAUGCUGCGAGUGUUUCAAGUCUGUGGUGAUAUUUUGGAAAUAGUAAUGGUCACGAGUGGGAGUGGAUGAAAGGAUCACGCCAUUUACCAUGGCUUAUUGUGAAGGAUCUCCCCAGGAAGUUGACACUGCUGAAAAA